rnacentral:lncRNA from 1 species
GGAAAAGGCCACUUCAUCUUUUUUCUUCUGAAAAAUGUCCAAUUCUUUCUGGAGACUGGAAGUCCAAGGUCAAGUUGUCAGAAGAUCAGGGGUCUAGAGAGGAUUCUUUCUGGUUUUCAGAUAUUUGCCUUCUUGAUAUGUCCUCACAUGGAAGAGAGAGCUGCCUACUUGAGCCUCAGAAAAAGGGGAGUCUCUUCAAAUCAGUGCAGCCACAAAAGCUGUGCUAAAGGAAGUGCAUUGUCUGGGCAUGUAUUGUGUGCUGUGGCCUUUGGGGAAAGUAUACAAAGAGAACAAAUGAUUCAUCAACAGAUUUCUGGCAGUUUGGUCUUCCUCAGACAGCCUGAAAAGAAAAUAUUGCAAACCAAAAAUGAAAAUGAGAGGGAGAGCAUGUACAAGGUGUGUGGCUGCUCUGGGGCUCCAACAACAAAGUUAAGGUAGUUGCCUGCUGUUUCUAUGACCUCCAGAUUACCAUGUGAGCUUUGGCAGAACAAGUUUGCUAAGAUAUGGCCCAUAUUAUCAAAAUUACUGUUGUAAGAAGAUAUUUCUUUAUCAUCUAUGAAGUAAGGAAUAAAGCAGUGAGUUGCU